rnacentral:lncRNA from 1 species
AUCUGGCUGCUCUUGGACUCAAGUGUUUACAUAAAGAUUGUCAUCUUCCGUAUAAAAGGAAAUGAAGUUUCUCUUAUGGAUGAAGAGAAAGCUAAAAAUGAGCCUCAGUGCAUAAUAAGAGUUUGCGGAGAGGACAACAAAGAAAGAUCAGCCAGUGGUACAUUUUUUUAAAAUGACAAUUUUAAAGUAGAUUUCUUAUAUUUUCAGAUCUGAUAUAUGAUUUUUGGACUCUUCUAGAUCUCAGUACAAAAGAUGGCAUCUGCUACUGAAAUUAUGUGUAGCUGUUAAACAUAGGUCCCUGCCUACAGGGAUACUUAAGGAUUUACUACCCAUUGAAAUCAAUGAGAGAUGGACUUGUGAUGGAACUCAUCGUCUCAGCAUCGUCUUAGGUAGAAGAGAACUAACUAGGGAAGGGAGCAGAGGGGCUAAGAAACCUGUGUAGCAUUCUGCUCUCCAGAAAAAUGAACUAAAUGUAGCCACUGGCUUUACUUGUUACUAGAUAAUGCUCCUCAAAUUAAGAAGACAGACCCUACUGUGAAGACAGUAAUCUCUCUGAAGAUCAGCAUGCCUAUCUUGGAAGGGAAUUGUUGCAGUGGUCUAUAGUGUUAUAAGUGAUGGACGGUUUAUAGGAUUAAAGCAUAAGAUUUAGUAUUGAUUCUUAUUCUUUGCUCUAACCCUCAAACUUAAAAGUCUGAAAAAACAAGCUCUGCUUAAGCCACCCUAACAUUGCAAAUCUGAUAAGAGUAGCUAGUGGCUUCUCGAAGCCGCUAUAUUAGCAACGGACAAAGCUUAUCUUUGAUGCAUCUAGCAAGAAAGCUGUUACUACAUUGAACCACUGUUCAAUGCCCUGUUCUUGUGGGAAAGUGCUGUCUUGCACUCCUUCAGUUCAACUUCCUGAAUCCUUCUUAAAGGCCUCCCAUGGUCUAAAAGU